rnacentral:rRNA from 1 species
UACGUAGGCGGCCAUAUAAGUCAGAAGUGAAAGGCUACGGCUUAACCGUAGUAAGCUUUUGAAACUGUAUGGCUUGAGUGCAGGAGAGGAAAGCGGAAUUCCUAGUGUAGCGGAGAAAUGCGUAGAUAUUAGGAAGAACACCAGUAGCGAAGGCGGCUUUCUGGACUGAAACUGACGCUGAGGUACGAAAGCGUGGGGAGCGAACAGGAUUAGAUACCCUGGUAGUC